rnacentral:snRNA from 1 species
GGAUGUGAGGGCGAUCUGGCUGUGACAUCUGUCACCUCAUUGAUCACCAGGGUUGAUUUGGCUGAUCUGGCUGGCUAGGUAGGUGUCCCCUUUCUCCCUUUCUCCCUCCCUGCUCCAUGUGCUUAGCUCCUGAAGCUGUGUGCUAGGUGGAAGAGGAUGGACUUCCCGGAGUACAGACAGACCAGUCUUCAGUCUAGGGUAUAGGAAUAGUUGCGCUCCCCUGCUAGAACCUCCAAACAAGCUCUCAAGAAUGAGGAUGGCAAGCAAAUACUUUUCUUCUGUUGAGAAACCAGCCCAAGAAACACUUGGAGCU